rnacentral:rRNA from 1 species
GACGAACGCUGGCGGCGUGCUUAACACAUGCAAGUCGUACGGUAAGGCCCUUUCGGGGGUACACGAGUGGCGCACGGGUGAGUAACACGUGAGUAACCUGCCCACAACUUUGGGAUAACGCUAGGAAACUGGUGCUAAUACUGGAUAUGUGCUCCUGCUGCAUGGUGGGGGUUGGAAAGCUCCGGCGGUUGUGGAUGGACUCGCGGCCUAUCAGCUUGUUGGUGGGGUAGUGGCCUACCAAGGCGGCGACGGGUAGCCGGCCUGAGAGGGUGACCGGCCACAUUGGGACUGAGAUACGGCCCAGACUCCUACGGGAGGCAGCAGAGGGGAAUAUUGCACAAUGGGCGCAAGCCUGAUGCAGCAACGCCGCGGGCGGGAUGACGGACUUCGGGUUGGAAACCGCUUUCAGCAGGGACGAAGCUUUUUGUGACGGUACCUGCAGAAGAAGAACCGGCUAACUACGUG